rnacentral:rRNA from 1 species
GACGUCAAGUCAUCAUGGCCCUUACGGCCUGGGCUACACACGUGCUACAAUGGUCGGUACAAAGGGUUGCCAAGCCGCGAGGUGGAGCUAAUCCCAUAAAACCGAUCGUAGUCCGGAUCGCAGUCUGCAACUCGACUGCGUGAAGUCGGAAUCGCUAGUAAUCGUGAAUCAGAAUGUCACGGUGAAUACGUUCCCGGGCCUU